GUAUAGAUAAAUUUUUAUAGUUUUUAUAAUUUAUUAUAUAUUUAUUUUACAUAUAAAUUUUAGUGUUAAAUUUUAAUUUAUUUAAAUAAUAUUUAUGAUGGUAGUAAUUAAUAUUAAAUAUUUAAGAAAUUAAGAUUUAGUAAUAUAUAAAUUAAUAACUAAUUUUGUGCCAGCAGUUGCGGUUAAACAAAAGUUAAAUUAAAUUAUUUCAGUAUAUAAUAAAUAUAUAAUAAAUUAAAGUAAAUAAUAAAUUAUUAGGUAAAAUUUUAAUUUAUUUAAAUUUUAUAAAUUAAUUAUGAUUUAAUAAAUUUAUUAAUAAACUAGGAUUAGAUACCCUAUUAUUAAAAUUUAAUUGAUAAUACUAAAAUAGUAAAUAAUAAUUUAUUGAAACUUAAGUAAAAUGGCGGUAUUUUAGUUCAUUUAGAGGAAUCUGUUUAUUAAUUGAUAAUCCACGAAUAAAUUUACUUAAUUUAAAAUUUUGUAUAUCAUUGUUAAAAAAAUAUUUUUUAAUAAAAAUAAUAUUUAAAAAUUUAUAAUAAAAAUUAAUUCAGAUCAAGAUGCAGAUUAUAAUUAAGAUUAUAAUGGAUUACAAUAAAUAUAUUUAAAUGAAUAAUAUUUUGUAAUAUUUAUUUGAAGGUGGAUUUAAAUGUAAUUUUAAUUAAUUUAUUAAAAUGAUUAAAAAUUAAAAUAUGUACAUAUUGCCCGUCACUUUCAUUUAAAAAUUGGAAUAAGUCGUAACAAAGUAGAGGUACUGGAAAGUGUUUCUAGAAAGAU
rnacentral:ncRNA from 1 species